ACCGGAUCUUAAAAGCCUAAGUA
rnacentral:siRNA from 1 species